CAGUCGCCGCGGUAAUACAGAGGCCUCAAGCGUUGUUCGGAUUCAUUGGGCGUAAAGCGCACGUAGGCGGCUAUUCAAGUCAGAGGUGGAAGCCCGGGGCUCAACCCCGGAAUUGCCUUUGAAACUAGAUAGCUUGAACACGGGAGAGGUGAGUGGAAUUCCGAGUGUAGAGGUGAAAUUCGUAGAUAUUCGGAAGAACACCAGUGGCGAAGGCGGCUCACUGGACCGUUGUUGACGCUGAGGUGCGAAAGCGUGGGGAGCAAACGGGAUUAGAUACCCGCGUAGUCCCUGUCUCUUAUAC
rnacentral:rRNA from 1 species